rnacentral:rRNA from 1 species
ACGUAGGGUGCAAGCGUUAAUCGGAAUUACUGGGCGUAAAGCGUGCGCAGGCGGUGAUGUAAGACAGUUGUGAAAUCCCCGGGCUCAACCUGGGAACUGCAUCUGUGACUGCAUCGCUGGAGUGCGGCAGAGGGGGGUAGAAUUCCACGUGUAGCAGUGAAAUGCGUAGAUAUGUGGAGGAAUACCGAUGGCGAAGGCAGCCCCCUGGGAUAACACUGACGCUCAUGCACGAAAGCGUGGGGAGCAAACAGGA